ACAUCCUCUUAAGUACCCAUUCAUUCUCAAUGCACAUAACACUUAUCAUAACCAAUGCCUCAGAAUAAUGCAGAUGACAAGUUCACACAAAUAAUGAGGAGAUGACCAUUUUCAUAACAUCGCACAGUUCACAACCACACAAACAUGAAGUUACAUCAACAAUGAUUCAACAAGCCUUCAACCAUUUCUCAACACAACACACAUAAACAAUUAAUUACAUUGCCUUUUUGUUGUCCCCAUUCUUUUAAUCA
rnacentral:misc_RNA from 1 species